CCUACGGGUGGCAGCAGUGGGGAAUAUUGCUCAAUGGGCGAAACCCUGAACCAGCAAAGUCGCGUGAAGGAUGAAGGUUUUCGGGUUUUAAACUCCUUUUUUUAGAGAAGAUAAUGACGGUAUCUAACGCGUAAUCACCGGCUAACUCCGUGCCAGCACCCGCGGUAAUCCGGAGGGUGCCCGCGUUACUCGGAAUCACUCGGGGUAAAUAGCGCGUAGGCGGGCUAGCAAGUCAGAUGUGAAAUCCUUUGGCUUAACCAUAGAACUGCAGUUGAAACUGUUGUUCUGGAGUAUGGGAGAGGUAUGAGGAAUGCUUGGUGUAGGGGUGAAAUCCGUAGAGAUCAAGAAGAAUACUGAUUGCGAAGGCGACAUACUAGAACCUAACUGACGAUGAUGCGCGAAAGCGUGGGGAGCAAACAGGAUUAGAUACCCCAGUAGUC
rnacentral:rRNA from 1 species